UCAAAAUCCACAAGAUUAUAUGAAGCGUCCAAUUAGGACGAUUGACAACCUUCCACCAAGCUUUGAUAUAGUGUUAGAUAAGUGCAGCUGCAGUACAAGCAGUUCAACACAUUCGGUGACUGUCGCAAACAAGACAGAGGUAAGACGAUAUAUAUUUCUCUACUAACUGUUAAAUUUGUUGCAGAUUAAUUUUAACUUGACUGGUAAGUUCAAUUAUACUCCACAUGGGAUCCACAAUCACUCUCUGCGGGGCUGUCAGACUUACACACACUGUAUUGAUCAUGCCGCAGGAUUCUAUGAAGCUGACAGUUGCGAGAUAGGUUUCCACUUUGAUUGAUGAGGUAUGCAACACUGCAGAGUCACCAAUGAGAAUAUUUGAUGUCAGUUUAACGUAGCAGAUUGUUUUAAGUUUGUUUAUUUUUUAUUUUGUUUUAUUGUUGUUCUACACAUGGUAAGAUGAUCCAAAAGGCUUGAGUUAUCUUCAUUAUUGCAAAGGCUGUUUGCAAAAUCAUCAAUAAAAGUCAGCCCAUGACGAACCUUUCUUUA